CCUACGGGAGGCAGCAGUGAGGAAUAUUGGUCAAUGGACGAGAGUCUGAACCAGCCAAGUAGCGUGAAGGAUGACUGCCCUAUGGGUUGUAAACUUCUUUUAUAUGGGAAUAAACUGUUCCACGUGUGGGAUUUUGUAUGUACCAUAUGAAUAAGGAUUGGCUAACUCCGUGCCAGCAGCCGCGGUAAUACGGAGGAUUCGAGCGUUUUCCGGAUUUAUUGGGUUUAAAGGGAGCGUUGGCGGAUUGUUAAGUCAGUUGUGAAAGUUUGCGGCUCAACCGUAAAAUUGCAGUUGAGACUGGCAGUCUUGAGUACAGUAGAGGUGGGCGGAAUUCGUGGUGUAGCGGUGAAAUGCUUAGAUAUCACGAAGAACCCCGAUUGCGAAGGCAGUUCACUGGACUGCAACUGACACUGAGGCUCGAAAGUGUGGGUAUCAAACAGGAUUAGAUACCCCUGUAGUC
rnacentral:rRNA from 1 species